rnacentral:sRNA from 1 species
AUUAUUUGAGACAAUAACAACAACCCCAAGCACACAUACUCCACCGCCCAUAACAAACAGCCCCCAAAUCGUUUAUAAGCUCCAACAAACCAACAAACAACAACAAACCAUAGGUAUACAAAUCGGGCUACGAUGUCAGAGAAGACAACAACAUCGACGACGACGACGACUAAACGUUGUGUUCCACACUAAACCUCUUUUUUCACAAUAUUUCAGUGCAAAAUAAACAUGCGAGAGUGACGGACGAUGCGCAGCUACUACUAAACGCGUACAACGAAGAAAAAGUGAAAAAGUGUGAAUCCAUGAAUCCAAUCCAAGUGAACAACAUCUGUUUAAGUGUGCGUUUGUGUUUCCAUAUCCCCAAAUCAUAAGAAUUUUGUCGUCGUCGUGUCCCCCAAAAACUGACAUUUUGUCUCAAGUCAGCCCGUGUGUCGCCCCCCAAAAACCUAAAAGGGCGGUGGUGAAUAUCGGUAUUUUUUCUCGUCUUCUUCUUACUUAACGAGAUUUAUGUAUUUUUCGCACAACAGAUAAACAAGCCUUAAACAUAACAAUGAGACAAAUAACCAAAGAUAAAUUUAAAAGACACAGUUAAUAGAAAACCUCAUUUUAAAAGCAUGAGAAUCAACUAUGCAAUGGCCCUCGCCAAAUCUGCUUAACUAAUCAAUUUAACUAAACAUAAACAAUGACUACUACUAUGUUUAGUGGCAACUAAAAACCAAAGAUAACAACAAAAGUUGAAAACACAAGAAAAACAUAAGGAGACCUUAAAAUAAAAAAAAAAAAAUAAAAAUAUAAACGAAAUAGUCGAAACGCCCAAAUACCUUAGAAAAUGUAGAAAGUUUUAAAAUUUGUGUGUUUAACUUAGGCAUAUGACUCAAAUUGCUUGUGCAUUUGUUUAAAAUCAUUGUUAAAGAUUUAUAAUAACACAACUAAACCAAAGAAACCUUAAAAUAUCAACUGCACCACACCGAAGAAGGCAAAACAGAAUCAGCACAUAAAAAGAAAAGCUCAAAGUCAGCAAACCAACACCUGCAUAAAGCAACAUAAAGACCUAGCAGAGGUAUCAUAAAGAAAUCAAAAACAAACUUAGACCAAUUUCAACAUAAAGUAAGAAACAAAUCCGCCCUACAAAAACAAAAAAGGUUAAAG